GUUCGCGUCUGCUGUGAAAUCCCGAGGCUCAACCUCGGGCCUGCAGUGGGUACGGGCAGACUAGAGUGCGGUAGGGGAGAUUGGAAUUCCUGGUGUAGCGGUGGAAUGCGCAGAUAUCAGGAGGAACACCGAUGGCGAAGGCAGAUCUCUGGGCCGUAACUGACGCUGAGGAGCGAAAGGGUGGGGAGCAAACAGGCUUAGAUACCCUGGUAGUCCACCCCGUAAACGUUGGGAACUAGUUGUGGGGUCCAUUCCACGGAUUCCGUGACGCAGCUAACGCAUUAAGUUCCCCGCCUGGGGAGUACGGCCGCAAGGCUAAAACUCAAAGGAAUUGACGGGGACCCGCACAAGCGGCGGAGCAUGCGGAUUAAUUCGAUGCAACGCGAAGAACCUUACCAAGGCUUGACAUAUACGAGAACGGGCCAGAAAUGGUCAACUCUUUGGACACUCGUAAACAGGUGGUGCAUG
rnacentral:rRNA from 1 species